AGGAGCAAAGGGGACUCGGUCGCCAUGUUAGGAGUACUGGGACGAUUCCACGGAGCCGGGCAGAGGUUUUAGGGGUGCAUGGGAGUCAAGUGGUGGUUCAGUGGGGACGGUGAGGUGGAGGACGACCUGGUCGGAUAGCCGCGGGCACGAACCUGGGAACCAGAGGGUGGAGGCGGUGCUGGGGACUGAUGUAGGGCGGGACUGACUGGAAGCGGCAUCCAGAGGCCCAGUGAGCCUCGGUCUCAGCUCCUGAAGGGGUUGCAUGGGGCCCUACGCUUCCUUCUCCAUUUUUUAGCUAAGAAAUUGAGAGAGUCGGUUUACUUUUGGGCUUGGACUAUCAUUUAGAUCGGUUAACAGUACAGUUGAGAGAGUUGGUGUCUUUUGUUGAGGUGCGAGGACCCGAGGCGGCGACCCUCGCCUUUAUUCGGAGAAGCCCACUUCCACCCACAGAGUUGGGGUAGUCCUCCGAAAUGCAUUUUUGUUUUGCCGUUUGUUUUCCAACCCCCCUUCACUCUCCCCAAGGCUUCAGAUUCACCAAUUUUUCAUACAGGAAUGAUUAACAAAGGCGUCCGAAGAAAUCGUUGUUGGAAGGUGGCCAAGGUGGAAAGAGACGUUGCUUUGGCCCUGCAAGUAAGAAGAGAGAAGGAACAGCCUGAAGGAGUAACACUAAAUUUAAAAUGACACUUUUUUACCAACCAGCGAAAGCAGAUGUUCAAAGGGGAUAUUGGCCAGAGUUUUGUCAACACUAAGAUGAGAAACGUCCUUUCUUCCUGAAGGUGUCUGAUGUGUAAAAAUACUGAUAUACUUUGUGCUGUUUCCUCCCUUCCCUUUUGCACAUUGUUCUGAAACAAAAUUAACUAGUUACUUUGCGUCAUUGAAGGUAUGCACUUCCCCUCUAUGUUAGGAGUGAAUAAAAUUAAAAAUAGAUCCUCAUAGCAAAGAAAGGCUAGAUAGAAUGAUUAAAAAUGACCAAAACAUGUUAGAAACAGUCUCUCAGAUGUAUGCAGAUGGUAAUUACAAAAACACUUUUUCGAAAAAUGAUCUUCUGUGUCAUGUUUCUGGGAACAAGUCAAGAUGAAUGAGUUUGAUUUUUUAAGCAGAAGUAGUAUGUGUUGGUGUCAUCCAUGAAUACAACAAUGAAAAAGGCUCAAAGUUGUUAUUCAGAAACUUCUCUAAGUAAUGGUGGUAAGUACAGGAAAAGGAACAAUGUCUACCAUAUUCUUUCUAACCUUCGAUUUAACUAUUGUAAUGUAAGCUUAACAGAGAUUUACACUUAGGCUUAAUUUCAAGCUCUUCAAUUAUUUUUCGCGGUUGGUGAUUCAGGUGUAUUUUCAUGUCUUAUGUAAACUUAUCAUGAGUCUUGUUGAUUUUAUAAUAUAUUUCUUUAUGUAAGCCAUAGCCUUGUCAGUUUGAGUUAUAUGGGAGACAAAUUGUAGGGAAAAAGAGCGACAAAUUACUCAAAAACCUUCUGUGUAAACUGGGCAUGGUAGUGCAUGCCUGUAUGCUUAGCUACUUGGGAGGCUGAGGCAGGAGGAUCACUUGAUCCCGUUAGUUUGAGGCUGCAGUGAGCUAUGAUUGUGUCACUGUACUCCAAUCUGGACAACAGUGAGACUAUGUCUGUUUUUAAAAAAGAAAGAAAGCUUGUGUUUGAAAAGUGAUACCUGUAGAAUACAGUGAUUUCUAUAAUUUGUCAUGUGUUUGGGUAGUUUGAAGUUUUUCUAUCCUUAUAUCUAAUGGACAUCUGACCAUAAAGAUGGAAAAAUCCUGCACUCUUUAUAAAUUUUAUUUAUAAAAUUAAUAUUUGAGGAGUUGGGGAGGCCAGCUUCUGAAAAAAUAACAGUGUCCCAUAGAAACACCACAGCUUAGGAAAAUAUUGUUAAAGUGGAAUUAGGAAUAUCUAGAGGAGGUAAAGCUUUUCAUCUCUCAAAAAAGAAUUAGGGCCAGGCGCAGUGGCUGACACCUGUAAUCCUAGCACUUUGGGAAGCUGAGAUGGGCACAUCACUUGGGGCCAGGAGUUCAAGACCAGCCUGGCCAACAUGGGGAAACCCCAUCUCCAAGAAAUAGAAAAGUUAGCCAGGUGUGGUGGCAUGUGCCUGUAAUACCAGCUACUAGGGUGGCUGAGGCAGGAGAAUCACUUGAACUGGGGAGGUGGAGGUGGCAGUGAGCAGAGAUUGAGCGACUGUACUCCAGCCUGGGCAACAGAGCAAGACCCUAUCUCAAAAAAAUAAUAAAGAGAAUUAGGACAUUGAUUUGUAUUAAUAUUAUAGGUAGCUCAUUUAAGAGUGUGAAGCCAGUUGCUGUUAGAGCAAGGGUUUUUUUCAGUAGAGGUGUCAGGAUAACCUAUAGAGCUCUACAAGUAUAUGGCUGUUACCUUCCCCUCCCUGUUGAAAUCUCCAGGGUUAGAACCAAGUAUUGUGUUUUUAAAACUAUCGGUGAGUCUACAAGAGUUGGGUAGAGAAGUCCUCUACAUCCUGUAUUUGUAUUUUUGCAGUAAGUCACACAAUAACAAAAGCUUUGAGAAAGAUUUUAGGUUUAUUGCUAAUUAUACCCAUGAAUGAGUUCUGAAAAUGUGUAGAUAAGGAAUUUACCUGGUGAACUGUUUACACAUGGCAAUUGUGGGAGGGAGAGGGGAGUGAGAGGAGAUGAGAUCAGUUUUAGCCUUAAGAGGAGCAACUGGGCCAAGCACGGUGGCUCACGCCUGUAAUCCCAGCACUUUGGGGCCAAGGCGGGUGGAUCAUGAGGUCAGCAGUUCGAGACCAGCCUGACCAACAUGGUGAAACCCCGUCUCUACUAAAAAUACAAAAAGUUAACUGGGCGUGGUGGCGGGCACCUGUAAUCCCAGUGACUUGGGAGGCUGAGGCAGGAGAAUCGCUUGAAACUGGAAGGCGGAGGUUGCAGUGAUCCGAGAUUGCGCUAAUGCACUCUACCCCGGGCAGUAAGAGCAAAACUGUUUAAAAAAAAAAAAAAAAGGACCAACCAUGAUAUCCUGACUAACCUGUGUAUUUCUUAGAAUGAGGGUUUGGCCUAAUAUUGAGAAAGUCUAAUGUUAAGAGACACCUAGUAAGAGCUCAAUGCUGUGGUAAAAUUAUGAUAGUUAUGCAGAAACUUAAAAGCUGAAAUAUCUAGAGACAAUAUAUUGUUUAGAAUUUUCUGAAAAUAAAAAUUUUCUUGCCCUAAGUCUUGAAUGUUUAAGUUAUUGAUGUUAAUAUUUAUGAUAUUUGAACAAAUGAUAUUCUAAUACAGUAUCUUUUAGGUCACAGAGACCCCUUUUUAGAGCUGAGAAAUCUUACAAAUUCCUCAGCCCAUGUUUUACAGAUAAGGAAAUGGGCAUGCACACAGUGAAAUUAAAAAUUGCCAGUGGUCACACUGUACAUUGAUGGCAAAAGGCAGGGCAGAAUUAGAAUCCAAUUAUCUUACCUGUUCAGUGUCUUUAAUGCUACGGCAAGCUCACCACUGUUUCUCUUUACUCUUUAAACAGUGGAUUUUUUUUUGUCAUGAUACCCUAGGAUUUUGAUUUCUUGUAUAAUGCAGUUCAAUACUUGUUUAAUUUUAAUGUUGGACUCUCAAUUUUUAAGACAGUAGUACACAUGAAAUGUGCUUUAUAUUUUAUGUUUCAACGAGAAAAUACACAUUUUCCUUUUAAUAGAUGAGCUUAAGUUCCUAAUUUAAAUAAUUGAGUAUGAGCUUCAGAUACUUCAGGGUGGUAUUUAAUAAACUUUGCUUUUCCAAAUGGUUUCAGAUAAGCAUUUAAUAUUCAAAGCUUCCUCUUUACAGCUUAGGAAGUGGUCUGGUUAAGUGACUUGAGUUCAUACAGGAAUAUAUCGGUAUGUUCCUAAUUCCCAUCACGUGUACCAUUAUAUAAUCAUAUAAUCUUGCUAACAGAUCUAACAGAUUUUUUUUUUUUUUUUUUUUUUUUGAGACAGAGCCUUGCUCUGUCACCCAGGCUGUAGUGCAGUGGCGCGAUCUCAACUCACUGUAACCUCCGCCUCCCAGGUUCAAGCAAUUCUUCUGCCUCAGCCUCCCAAGUAGCUGGGACUACAGACAGGCACUACCACACCCGGCUAAUUUUUGUAUUUUUAGUAGAGACAGGGUUUCACCAUGUUGGCCAGGCUGGUCUGGAACUCUUGACCUCAAGUGAUCCGCCUGCCUCUGCCUCUGCCUCCCAAAGUACUGAGAUUAUAGGAGUGAGCCACUAUGCCUGUCCUCUAGGGAAAAUCUUUAAUUCAUUCUGGGCAAUGAGAAAACUUUUAUUUUUACUUUUAGUUAACAAUACUCAGGAAAAUAAAAGUGUGCUUUUAGUCUUAGUAACCCAACUUGAGUUUGGAACAAAUUUACAUAAUUUUAGCUGCUUAAUAUACUGCUGAAGAUAAAUGCAGUAAAUAUCCUAAAGUCAAGAUUUGAAAUUCAAAUGUCCAUAGUAAUGAUUAACAGGAAAAGAGAGUCCUCUGUUACUUUAUUUCUCAAUUUUUUACAGGUUUGGAUAAAUAAGGGAGCACUAGAAAACUUUGUUGUUUUUUUUUUUGAUAUGGAGUCUGUUGCCCAGGCUGGAGUAGAGUGGUACGAUCUCAACUCACUGCAAUCUCCGCCUCCUGGGUUCAAGUGAUUCUCUUGCCUCAGUCUCCUGACUAGCUGGGAUUACAGGCACGUGCCACCAUGCCCAGCUAAUUUUUGUAUUUUUAUUAGAGACAGGUUUCAUCAUGUUGGUCAGACUGGUCUCAAACUCCUGACCUCGUGAUCCACCCGCCUCGGCCUCCCAAAGUGCUGGGAUUACAGGUGUGAGCCACCGUGCCCAGCCGAAAACAUUUCUUUGCAAGGAUAAAUAUAUGGAGAUGAACUUACCAAGCGUAAAUAUGUUCAUGAAUAUAGCCACUUAAGGAAAUUCAAACAUGCAUAGAUGUUCAGCUGUAUGCAGUUGUGUAUUCAUGAAGUAUUCAUAUAUUCAUGAAGCCUUAUUUGAUGUAGAAUCUGAGGGUGCUGCCUAUACAUAAACUUGCUUAAAGGUUAAAACUUUUAAGGAAUGUUCAUCAAAGUCACUUUCUUACACCUAACCCUGAUUUAAUGAAUAUGACACAUAGGUGCUUAUCAAACUGAAUACCUUGGAGACGAGCUGCUCCAGCACCAGAAGAUAAAAUUCAGUAACAGUAAUCCUUGAGGUACCUAAGUGAUACAUUUUUUUUAAGACUGAGCCAAAAUAAAACAGCUUUCCUCCUUCCCUACCCUCUCCGACCAAACUUUUAGCCAUUUUAUUUAUUUAUUUAUUUGAGAUGGGGUCUAGCCAUGUGGAGUGCAGUGGCUAUUCACAAGCAUGAUCAUGGCAAAUGACAGCCACAGACUCCUGGGUUCAAGCGAUCCUGCCUCAGCCACUCAAGUAACUAGGACUACAGGCGUAUACUGGGGCUUCUAGCCAUUUAUAUGGUAUUAAGUGACAGCUUAUAUGGUUACUUAGUACUUGUCCCUGUAAAACUGCACAGUGUGUAUUCUCUUGGCUCAAUUAUUAGCAUAUUCUGCCAUUUCUUUGUGAAUGUUUUGUAUUUUAUAUAGGAAAACUUAAGUUUUUAAAUAUCCUGAAAUAAAACAACUGAAGAGUUUUGUUUUUGCCUUUAAGUGUAAUGUAUAAAAGUAUACUAUUGCAGGGAUACUUACAGAGUGCUUUCAUUGCAAUUAAAAUACUGCAGCUAACUAGCAUGUUCCAUAUGUGUAAUCUAAAUGACAUACUGGUCAUGUACUAUUUCUAUGGAAUACCAACAGUAGUAUGGUACAUUUAUGCAGUCUCAACAGUUUAAAGUGUUAUUUUGGUGAUAAACUGUUUACAUUUAUUUGUUUUUACAUUUGGCAGUCUAAAUGCAAGAGUCUCCAUUUCAGCUGUUUACUCUGUAUAUCUUUAAUGUUGGGCAUUAUGCCUCUUUCUUGAGUUUCAGUCCUAUGACUGUUCCAUUUUCAGUAUUCAUGCUUAUGUGUCUUUCUAAAAUUGUUUUGCUUCUGUUUCUUGCUGCUCUUGAGACUAUGGGCAAAUUUUGUUAAUUUUCAACUGGCAGUGUAUUUCCUUGUGAAGAGUUGCUGGAUUGUCUCAUUUUCCAGAUAAACUGAACUAAUGUAGUAGUGAGGAGAAGCCAGAUUUCAGAGGUUUGAGAAGUGAACGAAUGGGAAUGAGCAAAGAAGUAGGUACUUAAAGUAAACUUUUAAGAAGUUUGGCUCUGAAAAAGGCAAGAAAUAAUAGGUUAGAGAGGGCAGGAUUGUAAGGAUUUAAGAUAGGAGAAGAGGCAUAAGCAUAUUUAAAUUUCCCUACUUAGGGGCCAAAAUCAUACUGUACCUCAGUCUGAUAACUUUUUAAAGGAAUUCAAGGACACAAAAUUCUGCCCUGCCCUGAAAUCCAGUCAGGAGGAAGAGAGAAGAGCUCUGAAGUACUUUUGUAAUUUUCUUCUACAUAAUAAUUGAUUUUUGUUUGAUUAUUUUUCUUUCCUAUAGCUCCUGUUUGCCAGGUUUUUCAUAGCUGCCUGUUUAACCAAACUUGUACUCCCAAGAAUAGUGCAUAUUUAUGACUCUUAAUUCCAAAAACACAUGGCAUUGAUAAUGUCUCUGCUUCUUUUGAGAAAUUAACUUGGUUCUGAAAGAUGGCGUUUUGCUUUUCACACUUGUGUCAUUAAUACUUCCUUGCCAAACCUAACUAGGAUCCUCAUCACCACCACUGUUAGAGAAAACUGAUGCUCAGUUGAACCAGAAUGUUAAAUGUGAACAGGAUUUGUCUGUGUUGUUGCCCAGCUGUGUUUAUCAAUACACAUUACCUGGAAGAAGAGAAAUCUGAGAUAAUUGAGUUGUUUAGAUUACUUACAUGAAGAUGGUUUAAUUGUAUAAAUACAGAAAAAUGCACAAGAAACUGACACCUUAAGGCAACAAAGCCCUCCAUAAAAAGUAACCGAAUUCUGAGAGUUAUGAACUAACGUCCAUUACCUGAAGUCCUUCUCAUUCCAUUACCCAGUAACAUAAAUCAAAUUCAGUAAAUAAGCUGCUUUAUGUCUUGAGAAAUUUAACUGGCAGAAUAAAUGGAAAGAAGUCAGUAAAAAGGGAGCAGUUAAACAAGCAUGGUGUCUCACACCAAUAACCCCAGCACUUUGGGAGGCCGAGGCAGGUGAAUCACUUGAGGUCAGAAGUUCAAGACCAACCUGGCCAACUUGGUGAAAACCCAUCUCUACUAAAAAUGGAAAAAUUAGCUGGGCUUGGUGGCAGGUGCUUGUAAUCCCAGCUACUCAGGAGGCUGAGGCAGGAGAAUCACUUAAAACCCAGGAGGCAGAGUCAGUGAGCCGAGAUCGUGCCACUGUACCCCAUCCUGGGCAACAGGACGAGGCUCCAUCUCAGGGAAAAAAAAAGAAAAAGCUGAGCAUGGUGGCAUGUGCCUGUAGUCUUAGCUACUCAGGAGGCUGAGGCAGGAGGAUCACUUGAGCCCAGGAGUCGUAGGUUGCAGUGAGCUAUGAUGGUGCCAUUGUGUUCCAGCCUGGGUAAGUGUAAGGCCGUGUUUCAGUAAAAAGAAGGGAGUAACCAAGACAGGUAGGGAUUCAGUAUAAUAAAAGUCAAAAGAAGUUGUUUAUUACUAGAGCCUGGCACUGUAACCUGGUAUGUCCAAAUGUGAUUUAAUUUGCUCUCAUGAGAUGUGCAUCAGAAGAAAUAACCUGAGGCAUUUCAAAGAAAAAACAAAAUGUGACCUGCUAGUUCUGUUACUCUGCCACAAGUUAACACAUUUUGAACUUUAGUGCAGAGUCCCAUACAUCCAGUGUGACUCCCCAAAUCUCAAAAAUUUAGGCUAAAACCUAAUUUUGUGUCCAAGCCAGUGCCUGCCUGUUCCUGCUGAAUGUAAAACUUUGGGUCCAGCAAUCUUCUAUCACUGGAGGGAGGGAGAGAUAUGAAAAUAAUGUUUAAUGGUAAUUGUUUAUUGUCAUGUGCCCAUAUUAUACCCAGAUUUAGAGAGCUAUUUGACACACCUGUAACCUAAUAUUAAUUUUAACUUAAUAUCUGCUCAGUCAGGUAAGAGAUGCAACUUCAUACAGGUCCAUUUAACAUGUCUAAACCUAAGUAGAAACACAAAAGCUAUGUAUAGUCCCUUGUUUGAGAUAACACUAAAUUUUUAGAGAAUAGCUUGGUACUGUGGUAGAUAGAGUUCACUUAAAAUGCAUUUAACAAUUUACAGAUAACUGGAAAGUAAUUCAUUCGUCUUAGAACCCUGAUAGGGACAUGCUAUUAAAAUAUUUGUGUACUAGUUAAAGUCAAAAUAGAAACACAGCCUAUCACACGGUAUUUAUACUACUAUACAUUAUGAUUAAUAAAGCCGCCUAAGGUCGUUACUCCAUGAUCAUGGGAAGUUGUUAGUCAUUAAGAGUUCGGGUUUAGCAACAAAAAUCUUGCAUUUGAAUCUAAACACAUUACAUGAUUUUAAGCAUGUUCAUCAUUCUGAGAUUAAAUAAAAAUUAAGGAAAUAUAUGAAAAAUGCUUAAUAAGUACCCAAAAGGUAAUAUGGUGUAGCAACUUAGAAUGUAGACUUCAGAGCCAGUCAGCUAGGAUUAAAAUGAGACUUCGGCCAAUCACUGUUGACUAUAAGCAAGUUAUUUAACUCUGCCUCAGUUUUGUCUGUGAAGUAGGGAUAAAAUCUUCCUCGCUAGGUUGCUAUAAGAAUUAAAUGGAUAUAUUAAGUACUAUCACAUGUGAGAUCACUUUAUUUGAGGCCAAAAAAAAAUUUUUUUUAACUAGGGUUCACUGAAAAUACAUCUAUAAAAAAACCAUUCUUUAUCAUGAGAAGUAUGAUUUUCUGUACCUUAGGUGUUAUAAAGCAAUGUCCCCUCAGUUUUAACUUUACCAAAAUACCUAUCUUAGUAAAUGAUACUAUAUAUACCAAA